rnacentral:tRNA from 1 species
GAGGGUACAGCUUAGUGGUAGAGCGUGUGCUUAGCAUGCAUAAGAUCCUGGGUUCAAUCCCCAGUGCCUCCA